GUCAAUUACCCCUCCUUAAAGGGAGAUGCUUGAAAGGAGACUAACAAGUCCUGGUUGACCAGGCUAAGUCCUUGCAAAAGGACUACGUUAUAUAUAGGCCUAAGACCGACGGCAGGAUGCUUCCUCAGUUCUGCCCUCUCGA
rnacentral:sRNA from 30 species